UUUCAAAAAAAAAAAACUAGAGGACCAUGCCUCCAAGCCUCUCAUCGGUGUAGCAAACCAUGCCUCCAAGCCUCUCAUCGCUGCUACUGCACCAGACAUUUCUGAUGCUGAACGAUAAGGACCCGUUUAUCUAUCAAUUUGAACUUGGAAAAUAGCAUCCCUUUCUGAAAAAAAAAUUAUAUAUCACAUGCCAACAAAAGGGAAUGUAGGUCUUGUUCAAAGAUCACGAAUGUAACGUAUAUAUAUGUAUCAUUUUUUUGUCGGCAUAUUAUUAUACGUUUUGUGUUAAAGACUGGGGUCAAGCCAGAAGUGUUUUAGUGUCAAAAUAAUGCAAAAGAUAUAGUAAAAUUGUUUAAAUGACUUUUGAAAAAGGCAGUAGUACAUCUGUACAUGUGUACAGCUCCUGUAUAACACAAAGGACACGCGUUGUAGGCUUAACGCUACAUUUGCUACUAGGUACACUGCGAAACAAUAUCAGUAAAUAUAUUUAUUUUUUGUUUAAAAGGGAUCAGUAAUACUAAAUAUAUUUAUCAAGAGUGAAUUACUUUGUGAUUAUUUCAUAAGUAGUAUUAUUUAAACUAUUAGUACCAAGACCUAUCGCCAUAAACGUUUUCAGAGUAACUGUAUGAUUUUUCUUUCUUUUCUUUUGGUAAAAAAUGUAUGAUUCUUUUUGAUCGACCUACAACUAUUUCAGAUUUACCGUUCACCUAGUAUUAACUCUUAAUAACCUUUAACGUAAUUAAAUACCUCGGUAGAGGCUUCUUGAUAAAGAAAACGAUAAAACUGAUAUAACAUUACAUGAACUGAAAACACUUGCGUUACAAAAAAAAAACAAAACACACAAACAGAGACUUAUUCGAAAACAUAUUACACACACAUGUACGGUACGACAUGGUGUUGUACGGAAUAUUAGAUAGAAAGGAACAACACCAGACGAUGGAUAUGGUAGAUUUGAGUUAU